rnacentral:tRNA from 1 species
GGGCGUGUGGUCUAGUGGUAUGAUUCUCGCUUUGGGUGAAGUUCGAGUCCUGACUCGGAUUACAAUUAUCUCAAACAUGCGAGAGGCCCUGGGUUCAAUUCCCAGCUCGCCCC